rnacentral:rRNA from 1 species
GACAGAGGUCCCGAGCGUUAGGCGGAAUCACUGGGCUUAAAGCGUGUGUAGGCGGAUCUUUAAGUCGGGGGUGAAAGCCUGUGGCUCAACCACAGAAUUGCCUUCGAUACUGGGGAUCUCGAGACCGGAAGAGGUGAGUGGAACUGCGAGUGUAGAGGUGAAAUUCGUAGAUAUUCGCAAGAACACCAGUGGCGAAGGCGGCUCACUGGUCCGGUUCUGACGCUGAGGCGCGAAAGCGUGGGGAGCAAACAGG